rnacentral:lncRNA from 1 species
CAUCACCACAUGUUACUUGUGAUGUUUUCCCAUAAAGUCAUUUAAAAAUGUGUGGACAUUCUACACAACUUAUAUUGAAAAUUUUCUGAUCCUUUUAUGAAACCAAAUGUAUGUCACAAAGUAAUUACUCAACAUGUUAAAAUACAAUUCUUCACAAAUACCAAAAGCCGGACUAUGGUUAGGGUAGAUUUUUCCGAGGAAACACUAUGCUAGAACAAGCAAUCAUUGUUAGGGCCAUUGCCAGUCAUGCUGGAGCCAGUAGUGGUUGCUUAUCACCCAUGGUUCAUAAGCCUAGGAUCCAGAAAAUUUAUGGGAAGCGUUAUUCACCCGGUAAUGAGGUCACCUAUCAUUGUCAGCUCAAACCACCACACGUCAGUGAAAUAUGGCCUUGUUUAGUUCACCCCGAAAUCCAAAAAGUUUUCAAGAUUCCCUGUCACAUCAAAUCUUGCGGCUCAUGCAUGAAACAUUAAAUAUAGACGAAAAUAAAAACUAAUCACACAGUUUAACUGUAAAUCAUGAGACGAAUCUUUUGAGCCUAGUUAGUCUAUGAUUGGACAAUAUUUACCACAAACAAACGAAAGUGCUACAAUUCCGAAAACUUUUCAGUUUUCGGAACUAAACAAGGCCUAUGAAUUGCGGGUCAUGCGACAAACAUGUAGUGGUAGGUGUCAUAUUACUGUUAGCAAAGGAUAUGACCCCCAACAUUGAUAUAUCACUGAUAGGUCAUGCCACGAGCUGGAAGUGAUAUUUUCCUGUGGAGAUGUUCCUAGGGCUUGUUUAGAUGCAAAAACUUUUUGGAUUUUAGCACUGUAGUACUUUCGUUUUUAUUUGACAAACAUUGUUCAAUCAUGGAGUAACUAGGCUUAAAAGAUUCGUCUCGCGAUUUACAGACAAACUGUGUAAUUAGUUUUAUUUUUAUCUAUAUUUAAUACUCCAUGCAUGUGCCGCAAAAUUCGAUAUUAUGAGGAAUAUUGUAAAGUUUUAGGUUUUUGAGUGCAUCUAAACAAAGGCCUAUGUCCUUUGUCGCAAAGUCCCCACAUCUAUUUUUCUUCCAUGAAAACGUUCCCUUCCGUGUGCAUUGUUGAGUUCAUUUUUUUCUCUUUUUUUCCCUUCCGCUUUCUCGCGUUUAGUUGAGUGUUUUUUUAUUGUUCUUUUUUGUCUCCUGUUUUUUCUUAUACAUGCAGAAAAAAUAGAAGAUAAUGAAUAUAGUAUUUUAAGUUUUUGAAAUUCUAAUCCUUUCCUAAUAUAUAAAUAUUUCCAUCAGUAAGGCCUGUUUGGAACGCGGUAAUUUUUCCCUGUUCCCGAGCUCAUUCCUAUGAAAUUUCUGCAUAAUUCCUGUGAAAUCCAUGCGUUCCAAAUUGGCCCUUAAGUUGAUGGAAUUUUAAGUAUAUUAGAAAUAAAGCUUAUAAUAUUAGGAUCUGGACUAGGCGAUGGUCUAAUCAAUCUGUGGACUGAAAUAUUAAGUAGUUUGUCAUCCAAUCUAUAUCGAUCUGCGUACCUAUUUAUAUUCAGAUCUAUAUAUAUAUAUAUAUAUAUAUAUAUAUAUAUAUAAUCACAACACUACUAGAGAACAGACCUUUCGUCGAUGUGCCAAAUGAGCUUUAGUCCCGGCAUUUUUGGCGCCCAGGACAAAAGAAAUCUUUAGUCCCGGUUGGUA